rfam:Macaca mulatta chromosome 5, whole genome shotgun sequence.
CAAGUACUGGUCUCAGCAGAUUGAAGAGAGCACCACAGUGGUCACCACACAGUCCGCUGAGGAUGGAGCUGU